rnacentral:sRNA from 1 species
CUUGAUUGAAAUGGCGCAUUAUUCUAGUCAAUACAUUAUUACGAAGACGAGGGUAAAAUAUCGUUAAAGAGCAUAUCUGUGAAGCGUCUGGUGCUUGCUUUGUGUGCCCAACAUGGGGUGGGUGCUGGAUUUGAAGAACCUAUGGGCGAUCGUAACGGCAUACGGCAACCGACCCAUUUGUUCGUAGAGACCUACGCUUGUGGGAGGGUCUUUUGAUACUUCUUACGACUUAGGAUUAAACCUAUCAUGUAGUGAAAGCUACGGAUAGAGUAGCUUGACUUGAGUGGUAAUAGGGAAUAGAGACAGCUAAAAUAUGGCGUACACCAUUAUUUUAGUAUCGCUACUUGAAACUAUUAUUGCAAAAAAGUACUAGUAAUAGGGGGUAUUGUUGGGGAAAACCUCUAGAAUGUAGACUAACAUGGGAUUGCAGUGUGCACUAAGUGGCAAUCAAGUCAUAGAUAAGGUGACUUACUAUUUAUUCUUUUAAAAGGGAACUGCUUUACUGGUAACGGUAAGUAAGAAUAAGGGAAAUCCAACUUGACCUAAGGUACAGAGUUUAUCAUGUUAGUUGCCAUUUCAUUUAUAU